rnacentral:tRNA from 1 species
UAGCUCAGUGGUAGAGCACGUGCUUAGCAUGCAUGAGGUCCUGGGUUCAAUCCCCAG